rnacentral:rRNA from 1 species
UGACGGCUUAACCGUCAGGCGUGCAGGGGAAACUACAAGUCUAGGGACCGGGAAGGGCCAAAGAUACUCUAGGGGUAGGGGUGAAAUCCAAUAAUCCUUAGGGGAUCGCCAGUGGCGAAGGCGUUUGGCUAGAACGGGUCCGACGGUGAGGGACGAAAGCUAGGGGAGCGAACGGGAUUAGAUACCCCGGUAGUCCUAGCUGUAAAUGAUGCAAAUUAGGUGUUGCGCACUCUUCGUGAGUAUGCAGUGCCGAAGGGAAGCCGUUAAAUUUGCCACCUGGGAAGUACGGUCGCAAGGCUGAAACUUAAAGGAAUUGACGGGGGAGCACAACAAGGGGUGGAGCUUGCGGUUUAAUUGGAUAAUACUCCGGAAAUCUCACCAGGAGCGACAGCAGUAUGAAAGCCAGGUUGACGAUCUUGCUAGACUUGCUGAGAGGUGGUGCAUGGCCGCCGUCAGUUCGUGCCGUAAGGUGUGCUGUUAAGUCAGUUAACGAACAAGACCUAUAUCUACAGUUGCUAGCGAGUCUUCCGAGAUGAUCGAGCACACUGUUGAGACUGCCCGCGUAAGUGGGAGGAAGGUGUAGGCAACGGUAGGUCUGUAUGG